rnacentral:lncRNA from 1 species
GUUGCAGCCUGCCACUGCUUUCUGGCUUUGUGGCCUCUUCCCUGGCUGGGGACCUGCAGGCCCUGGGAAUGAGGCCUAUGUGUCCUGCCCUUCCUCCCAUUGUCUGGGUCCCUGGGGCAUAGGAUUAUUUAGCAUCAAUAGCUGGGUGAGCAGUGCCACAAGGGUUUCUUGCUUUCUCAGUGAUAUUGGGACUGUUGGGGGUGGCAGGGCAGAGGCCAAGGUCGGAGGGUGGGGCCAGAGUCAAGAGGCACCCCAGAGUGAGCCCGAGACCCUGCUUCUUGCCCAGCCCUGACCAGAGCAGUCCAUCCAUGCCCUGGGCCAACAGGGAGAGACUCUGAAAGGACAGGCAGGACUUGGGGCCCUGACUCCGGGACCCUGCACUGCCCCUUGGCUUGGUCCAGCAGCAGAUAUGGAGAGUGCAGAGUGGACCAGCAGAGUGGCCAAGGACAAGGUGUGGGGGCAGGAGGAGGUGUGUGGAAGGAAGGGCCCCUGGGGGUGUGCCACUGAGUCCUGGCUGCCUCUGGCCUGGGGAGAGCUGUGAUGGUCUUGAAAUGCUUCCAGGGGUGGGAGCCUCUUAGAAGAACACCUGGCCCCCUGGUGGUCCUUGGUGGUAGCUCCACCCCAAGGGUGGCCCUGCCUGGUGGGAGGAGGGCUGCCUCUUUCUCCCCCCUCUGGGCCAGCACAGGCAUGGCCUUGUCCCACAGGGCUCUGUGUCCCUUCAGGAGAGAUUCUGCCCUGCUCCAAGCCAGAGAGCCCUCACUCACUCAGCACCCACUCACGGGACUGCCCAGGCCAGACUGGCUGCAUUGCAAACUUGAGACACAGAGCUACCCCCUGUGGAAAGGGACAGUGUCUCUGUCCCUAGUAAGAGGGGACAGGACUCUGAUGCAAGGCCCAGGACCAGGCAGGGGCCAGGGUUCUGGCGUUACCAGCUCAGCCCAUCCCCAAACAGCAGGCAGCCCUGCCCCAGGGGGCCACUCUCCAGAGCCCACCCUGCCCUCUCCUGGCAUUGGACCUCGGCCUUUCUUGCUGCCUCCUCUCUGACCCCUCUCCUGGUGACUUACCUCAGGGGCCCACGCUCUCCUGGCUCCUGGGCUGCACCUGUCUCUCACCUGACGCCCCUGUCCCCUGGUGUCCUAGAGCCAUCUCCCCAUCCUGCCCUGCUGCCCUCUCUCCCCCAAGAGCCAGGUCCCAUUCUGCCCGGUGACCAGAGCCCAAAGCCCGAGGUGUAGGUUGUCCGUGGCACUCCUCCAAGUCCCGACCUGCCCCCACCUCUGGUUGCCCGGCUCCUCCCCUUCUCCAGGCCCAUAGAGCUUCCAGGCUGUGCUGGACACAGCCCGGUCCAGGCCCCCCGAGCCCAGCAGGAGACCCGAGCAGGCAUAUGAUGUGCACAUGUGGCUGUCCAGCUGCCAAGCAGGACUGUGCACCACCGGGGACUGGGGAGCGGGCACAUCUGCCUGGCUGCUCUGCACACCAGUUUCUUUUCUUUUUUUAUUUUAAUAUUUAUUUCUUAGUUGGACACGGUACCUUUAUUUUGUUUAUGUAUUUUUACGUGGUGUUGAGGAUCGAACCCAGGGCCUCACGCAUGCUAGGCCAGUGCUCUACCAUUGAGCCCCAGCCCCAAUCCUGGACACCAGUUUCUUUGGGUCACACGGAAUGUGUCCUUGAGAUAUCACUGAGGCCAUUCCCCUGCCUCUGGCCCAGGCCUGGGCUCCCAGAACCAGUCCCAGUCUAGUCCUGAAGGGGAGUGGUUUCUUCCUUGGGGUGCGACAGUGUCUGAGGCAGGCAGCGAUAGGUCCAGGCCUCUGUCUCAAGGGGUUCGCUCUCAAGGGCCCAGGCUGCUCCAAUACCUGGUGAGCCCUGUGUCUGACUGUCCACCGGCCUUGACCUACUCUCUAAGGCCUCCUUGGCCCCACCCACCUGUGCCUGGCAGUUAGUGUCCCCCCCUCUGGCUGUGGGUAGUUGUUGUGGGAAGGGGCUUUGGGGGACACAGGUGGUCAGGGGCAGCCCCUGGACCUUGUGUGUCAGGCCCAGCUAGCCUGCCUUUCAGCCCUGCCCGGAAAUGCUCCUCUGGAGCACUGGAAGGAGGGGCAGUGCCUGGUCCACCAAGAAGAAGCUGGAUAAAUAUUCUGGGCUCUGAAAGCCAGGCCGAAUGUUGUGCUGGUCAGCAGCGUGAGAGGGGUGGGCUCAGUGUGGAGGGGGCAGUGCAGCUCAGGGCCUCCAGGGCCAUCUGCGUCAAGGGGACACUCUGACUUAAGGGGGCUGUGCUGGUGGCACCCCAGGCCCUUCUCUCCCAGGCUGGCCUCUGUCAUGCCUCGUCUAUCAGGUUAGCCUCUGCUGAUGCUGGACAUGGCCACUCUCCACCUGCCCUCCCAACUGCCUGUGCCCUUCCUCACACAGCCCAGGAGAAUGCACCCUCCAGGAGUCCAGCAGGGCAGGAGUUGGGGUAAGAUCCACCCUGGAAUUUGCGUAUCUGUGCAUUGCUGGCCAGGUCCUGUGGAGGGGGAGGUUGAGGAUGGCCUCCACCUGUCCUGGGGCCAGGGAGCUGGGGCCAGGGAGCUGGGGGCUGGUUGGUCCCCUCUGGAGAGCAGAGGUCCUGCCCAAUUCUGCCUUAAGAAAGGGGUGUGGCAGGGCUGUGGGGAGGGACAGCCAGGCCAGCACAGUCCUGCCCACUCCUGCUCUCCUCCACUGACCACCGCUGGGACCUCAGCUCAGGGCAGACCUUUGGUGCUUCCAGAAGCUGCCGGCCCAGCCAUGGUGGCCAAGCCCCAGUGACUCCAUUGCCUGCUGAAGGGUUGGGCAGGGGGGGUCUGGCUGGGCACCCCUCUCCUCCUCACGAUGCUGAAAGGCUGGUUUUAGGGGAGGGGCUUGCUCCUCCAGGACUGUGUGUGUGUGUGUAUGUGUGUGUGUGUGGGUGUGUGGGUGUGUGUCCCGGCUCUGAUUUGGGCUGGCAGGAGUCUCCAGUGUCUCCUGGCUAUGGCCAGGGGGCACUGGGGCAGCUGAGUGUCCUGGGUCUUGGUCCAAGCCUGUCCCUAAGUCAGAGACUCCUGCCUUUCAGUCUGGAGUAGAGGACAGCCCAGUAGUGUCCUCCACUCCUGAUCCUAGGCUAGUCAGUGAGGUCCAGGCCUCAGGACCCUCCCUCACUGCAUUGUCCCUUUAAGGCUGGACCUGACGCCUUUUCAAACACUCUGGGGAAAAGUGACUCCAGGGAAGUGGGGACGCAGGUCUGUGCAGGGUCAUGGAGGGGUCCCUGGCAGAGGGCAGCUGAGCUCAGGCCCUGAGGGGUUGGAGAAGGUGCCUUGGUCAUGGGCCCCUCUGGCCACCAUCUCGAGCACCCUGGUGGCCCCCCUGGUCACUGUACACUCCCUACUCCCAAGCUGGGACCAGUUCCUGCCAAAUGUCAUAGAAGGUAGCCCAAGUUGGAGGACAGGUCAGGCUCUGUUGGCCCUGGAGUUGAGACCAGUCCAGGAGCAUGCCCUGUCCAGAUGGGAAGGUGGACACUGGAGGGAUAAAUGAGGACAUAUCUGAGGGGAUGUCCUAUAUAUCAAGUGAGAUACGGUGGCUCCUCCAGGCUGGGAGUGCCCCAGUGGCAUGGCCCACAGCCCUGUCCCACACUGAUGGUGGCCAAGGACGUCGGACCCGCCCCCCUGUCACCAGUGGGUUUAUUUCUGAAGGGAGAAUGGCAGACAGGGCUGAGCUGCCUUGCAAAGGGCCCAAGCCAGGCUGAGAUGGCGGUGAGGGCCCAAUCUGCAAGGGACAGAAUGGCCCUGAGGGCACAUUCACCCCUCAACAGGAGCAGGGGAGGCUGGAGCAGAGGCCAGGGCAGCCAGAGGCCAGGAGGAGUGGGGUGAGCUGACCGGGAACAGGGCAGGAGGACCACUAGGAGCCAGGGAACAGAGGCCCAGGGUAAGAUCUCAGUUGCUUCCCCACCUUGGUGGAUCCCUGCACAGGGCCCCAGAACCCCCCAAGCCCCAGAAGCCACAGCCGUCACACUCAACGGCUCACACAGGCCUCUGGCCACAAUCCCUGUGAGGACAGAAUGGUCAGAGAACCCCGGCCUGAGGGCACACUUGCAUGACUCCUGACCUCCAGAGCCCCUUGCACCCCCAGGGCUGGCUCAGUAGCUGCAAAUGAAGGUGUCCUAGGAUGGGGACCUGAGGUUUGGGGGUGGCACAUUUUGGGCACAAGUGCAUCCUCUCCUCCAGAUGCUGGAACAGCCAGUGGAGGCCCAGGCCCCCAGACCCUCCCUGACUGCACUGUCCCCUCUAAGGCUGGACCUAAUGUCCCCUCACACAGUGUGCACUGCCCAGGCUCAG